CCUACGGCGUGCAGCAGUGGGGAAUAUUGGACAAUGGGCGAAAGCCUGAUCCAGCCAUGCCGCGUGUGUGAAGAAGGCCUUCGGGUUGUAAAGCACUUUCAGUGGGGAAGAAAGCCUUGGGGCUAAUACCCUCGAGGAAGGACAUCACCCACAGAAGAAGCACCGGCUAACUCCGUGCCAGCAGCCGCGGUAAUACGGAGGGUGCGAGCGUUAAUCGGAAUUACUGGGCGUAAAGCGCGCGUAGGCGGUCUGAUAAGCCGGUUGUGAAAGCCCCGGGCUCAACCUGGGAACGGCAUCCGGAACUGUCAGGCUAGAGUGCAGGAGAGGAAGGUAGAAUUCCCGGUGUAGCGGUGAAAUGCGUAGAGAUCGGGAGGAAUACCAGUGGCGAAGGCGGCCUUCUGGACUGACACUGACGCUGAGGUGCGAAAGCGUGGGUAGCAAACAGGAUUAGAUACCCCUGUAGUC
rnacentral:rRNA from 1 species